rnacentral:misc_RNA from 1 species
GAUGAAGAACGCAGCGAAAUGCGAUAAGUAGUGUGAAUUGCAGAAUUCAGUGAAUCAUCGAAUCUUUGAACGCACAUUGCGCCCUUUGGUAUUCCUUAGGGCAUGCCUGUUCGAGCGUCAUUUAAACCUUCAAGCUAAGCUUGGUGUUGGGUGACUGUCCGCUUCACUGCGGACUCGCCUCAAAAUUAUUGGCGGCCGGUACAUUGGCUUCGAGCGCAGCAGAAACGCGAACUCGGGCCCGUCGUAUGGGCUCCCAGAAGCUAUCUUCACAAUUUUGACCUCGGAUCAGGUAGGGAUACCCGCUGAACUUAAGCAUAUCAAUAAGCGGAGGA